rnacentral:lncRNA from 12 species
GAAUGCAGUGCCUCUCUCAAUGAAAAUGCAAAAUCUGAAAUUUCAGAUUCAGCUGGAGUGGAUACAGAUAAACAUUCUGAGGAGGAGCCCACAUUUAUUUUAACUCUAUAUGAGAUUCCAGUCUCUGAGUCUGCCUUUGGGCAGCAGGACACGCCCCCUUAUGAACUGCAGCCAGCACAAGUCCAGACACCCUUGCUGUUCUCAAGCAGUUCACAUUCUCAUUACUUCACAUUAGAGCCUUCCAGGUACAUUUCUCUUCCAGUCUAGAUUUAAUUAGGUAACAUUUUACACAGUAAAAAACAAAAUCCUUGAUCAUCCAUUCCUUUCAUCCUUGAUGACCUUGUUUUGCAGUGCAUCUCCGAACAUGGCGUCUGAAGAGACCAGUAAUCUAUAUAAAAGUAGUUCUCGCAAGGUGGUGGAUGACUCCCUGGAUCCUCUUUCAAAGGAAGCAGCAGAUGAUGCUAGUACACAAUUGAUAUCCUCACUGGAAAGCAGUUGUGAUGAUGUGAACUCUUUAAUUAGUCCACUCGGGAUGUUCUCUUGUAAUUCUGCCACGCCAACACAUGUGCUGAAAUUGGAUGAGAUCCUGACAGAAUCCCCAGAAACUAAAGCACCUUCUCAGAGGAGAUGUAGAUGUCAGAAUCUACCAACAUCUCAAACCACAGCACAAACUGAGAUUGAGACCAACCAGACACUAUCUGUGCAGGAAACAGUCGGUCCUGAAAGCCACUCAAGCCUUGAAGACAGUGAGAGGGAAGCCCAUCCUGGGCCUGAUGGCAUGAUAUCAACAGCCAUUGUUCCAGUGUCUGAAGAUAUGAGAGAUGAGAGUCACCUGAAGUGGGAAUGUCCUCUCAGAACAGAACUCCAGAGGAAUGAGGACUCUGUUGUUGACCCUCCAGUGAGUCAGAGGCUGUUCUCUGUUGAAACAGACCAGUUUUUCUGUAUAAAUUAG